rnacentral:lncRNA from 1 species
CUGAGUUAGUUGCUUAGUGCCUCACCAUUUCUAAGGCUGGCUUUGAACUUGCGAUCCUCCUGUCUCAGCCUCCCAAGCUGGAAACUACUCAUGAUUUUGAAUUAGGUACUUUCUUUGGAAUGUUAGUAAACAAGGAAGUUUUGGUUCAGAGAUGCUCAGGACUUCCUGAUGUUUGCCUGUGUCACAGGUAGCUUUAGCCUCUUUCAGAAAUGCCAAUUCUAAUUCGAACCAUGUAGAGCUCCCCCAUGUUCUGACAAGAGGAACACUCUCUGCUGUAAAGCGUGUGCUGUCCCUGCUCUUUAGAAAGAUGGAGAAAAAGAGCCCAAAUGGUACACACACUGUUUUUAAUAGUUUGGGAGCAGUGUGUGCCUCUAAAUUCACUUGAUGCUUGCUCAAUUUUCUAUUUCCUGUGUAGAUUCAUUCUCAGAUUGGAAGCAACUUUAUUACCCACACAUUCAGAUUAAUUCCUGAGUCAUGCCUGGCUUCUCUUGAAAGCAGAUCACAAAAUCUGGCCUUUGAGAGUUGGAGUUUGACCAUUUUUCAAUCUAAGUGUUACAGGAUAAGAUGUUCUAUAAAGAUCAACUUUGAUGAAACCACUUCUGAUUUAUUAGGCAGACUGAGAAUUCUAAAUGAUGCAGAGAAAAGAAAUAAUAAUAAUGCAACAAAACCACUAGCAUUUCUUAAGUGUCUACUAGAUUCUAGGCAUUUUGCAUAUAUUAACCUCAUCUAAUCUGCACAACAACCCUGUGAGUUUGCUUUUGUUUUCGGAUGAAGGAACUUGUUUCAGAGAUUAACUUGCUUAUGUAACACAAACAGCCCUCAGUGCUGGAGCUAAGAUGCAAAUCUGAGUCAGACUGAU